AGUGAACGCUGGCGGUAGGCCUAACACAUGCAAGUCGAACGGCAGCACAGUAAGAGCUUGCUCUUACGGGUGGCGAGUGGCGGACGGGUGAGGAAUACAUCGGAAUCUACUUUUUCGUGGGGGAUAACGUAGGGAAACUUACGCUAAUACCGCAUACGACCUACGGGUGAAAGCAGGGGAUCUUCGGACCUUGCGCGAUUGAAUGAGCCGAUGUCGGAUUAGCUAGUUGGCGGGGUAAAGGCCCACCAAGGCGACGAUCCGUAGCUGGUCUGAGAGGAUGAUCAGCCACACUGGAACUGAGACACGGUCCGACUCCUACGGGAGGCAGCAGUGGGGAAUAUUGGACAAUGGGCGCAAGCCUGAUCCAGCCAUACCGCGUGGGUGAAGAAGGCCUUCGGGUUGUAAAGCCCUUUUGUUGGGAAAGAAAAGCAGCAGGUUAAUACCCCGCUGUUCUGACGGUACCCAAAGAAUAAGCACCGGCUAACUUCGUG
rnacentral:rRNA from 1 species